rnacentral:rRNA from 1 species
CGGGGCCUACGGGGGGCAGCAGUGAGGAAUAUUGGUCAAUGGGAGAGAUCCUGAACCAGCCAAGCCGCGUGAGGGAAGACGGCCCUAUGGGUUGUAAACCUCUUUUGUCGGAGAACAGAACCCGGGACGAGUCCCAGACUGCGUGUAUCCGAAGAAAAAGCAUCGGCUAACUCCGUGCCAGCAGCCGCGGUAAUACGGAGGAUGCGAGCGUUAUCCGGAUUUACUGGGUGUAAAGGGUGCGCAGGCGGCUCUGCAAGUCAGGCGUGAAAGCUAGGGGCUCAACCCCUAAACUGCGCUUGAAACUG